rnacentral:rRNA from 1 species
GGUUAUGCCCAUUUAACAGUGAUAUGUUUAUAUAUAUAUUAGAGACAUUAUAUGGCGGUUGCGGGUUUAUUCUCGUAGCUGUUUCUGUGUAGUGCUCCACUGUUUUAUGAUAUAUAGUUUAUAGCCGGAGGCGUGCACUUCUCCCCUUGUAGGACGUCGUGACCCAUUGGAUUAUGUUGUCUAAGGCUUAUAAUGGAGACCGUGGCAUUAAGUUUCGGCUUUAAUGACCCGGACUUAUGAUGUCCCGACAUCUAUCCGAUGGUAUAUAUAUGAUGAUAGAUCGCUAUAAAUGCGUAUGAGCGUUCAGAUCCAUAACAAAUUCUUUAUAUGAGAUAAUAGUGGAAAUCGGAUUUAACGCCGAUUCUACACAUAUGGUAUUGAUAGUUAUGGUAUUCUCGAACCGUUCUUUAUCAUCAGUCAACGGCGUUUAUGUUUUGGGUAAUUACAGGACCCGUCUUGAAACACGGACCAAGGAGUCUAGCAUGUGCGCAAGUCAUUGGGACUUUGUGAAACCUAAAGGCGUAAUGAAAGUGAAAUAUUUGUGAAUUUUCGUAAUUCACUGAAUUUAAGGGAAGAUGGGUAACGUUAUUUAUGUUACCUCGCAUUCCCGGGGCGUCGCGUACUUAUUGCAAGUUGCGGCRCACCAAGA